rnacentral:rRNA from 1 species
CCUGGGGAGUACGGCCGCAAGGUUAAAACUCAAAUGAAUUGACGGGGGCCCGCACAAGCGGUGGAGCAUGUGGUUUAAUUCGAUGCAACGCGAAGAACCUUACCUGGUCUUGACAUCCACAGAACUUUCCAGAGAUGGAUAGGUGCCUUCGGGAACUGUGAGACAGGUGCUGCAUGGCUGUCGUCAGCUCGUGUUGUGAAAUGUUGGGUUAAGUCCCGCAACGAGCGCAACCCUUAUCCUUUGUUGCCAGCGGUCCGGCCGGGAACUCAAAGGAGACUGCCAGUGAUAAACUGGAGGAAGGUGGGGAUGACGUCAAGUCAUCAUGGCCCUUACGACCAGGGCUACACACGUGCUACAAUGGCAUAUACAAAGAGAAGCGACCU